GUUUUGUGAUGAGGGCAUUUUCGUAAUAGUUCUUUAAACCUUUCCCAUGCCUCAUACAAGGACUCGUCAUCCAUUUAUUGGAAAGCAAUGAUCUCAUUCCUCAACUU
rfam:Gossypium arboreum cultivar AKA8401 contig_111594_1, whole genome shotgun sequence.